GACGAACGCUGGCGGCGUGCUUAACACAUGCAAGUCGAACGGAAAGGCCCUGCUUUUGUGGGGUGCUCGAGUGGCGAACGGGGGAGUAACACGUGUGUAACCUGCCCUUGACUUUGGGAUAACUUCAGGAAACUGGGGCUAAUACCGGAUAGGAGCUCCUGCUGCAUGGGGGGGGUUGGAAAGUUUCGGCUGUGGGGGCUGGACUCGCGGCUUAUCAGCUUGUUUGGGGGGUAGUGGCUUACCAAGGCUUUGACGGGUAGCCGGCCUGAGAGGGUGACCGGCGACCUUGGGACUGAGAGACGGCCCAGACUCCUACGGGAGGCAGCAGUGGGGAAUAUUGCACAAUGGGCGGAAGCCUGAUGCAGCAGCGCCGCGUGCGGGAUGACGGCCUUCGGGUUGUAGACCGCUUUCGCCUGUGACGAAGCGUGAGUGACGGUAAUGGGUAAAGAAGCACCGGCUAACUACGUG
rnacentral:rRNA from 1 species